UUUUGUAAAUGUGAUAGCCCACAAAAUAUUGGGACAUACAACAAAAGAAACAUUUGCGGCCUGCGGUGCAUUUCUUGCAGUCCUGAUGCAUGGAGAAAAGGACUUCACAAGCCUCUGCUAUUGUGUACAUAGUUUAUACUAAGUGACCCAUAGGUAGAGAAAAAAAGACAACUCUGCUCUGCAGAGUAGCUGUUGACAUUAUAGUUGCGCAGGCACUUUGUUGACUCUAGAGAACCUUGGGCCAAUCGCACAUCCCCGUGGCGGCGACUUUGCAUGCGGAUGUCAUCCAUAUCAACUUUCGAUGCCAGUUUCUGCGCCUACCAUGGUAACCACGAGUAACGGGGAAUCAGGGUUCCAUUCUGUACAGGGACCCUGAGAAACGGCUACCACAUGCAAGGAAGGCAACAGGCGUGCAAAUGACCCACUCCCGACAUGGGAAGGUAGUGACGACAAAUAACAAUACAGGACUCUUUAGAGGUCCUUGAAUUGUAAUGAGUCCACUUGAAAUCCUUUAACUCUCUUCAAUUAGAGGGAAGUCUGGUGCAGAGCCACUGACCCGUGCGUGCUGCAGCUGAAA